rnacentral:tRNA from 1 species
GCCCGGUUAGCUCAGUUGGUUAGAGCUUGGUGCUGAUAACGCCAAGAUCAUGGGUUGGAUCCCCAUACGGGCCA